AUGGGUAUCCACAUGAAGUCCUUGUGCUGAUCGAUCUCUCCGAGAGAGCUAGCUCGUGAAGACGCCAUCCAUUGGCUGAUUUGAAAGAAACAUGAUGGAAUUGAAGAAUAAGGAGAUCCUCUCCUUUUUUUUCUGGAUCAAUGCAUCUGAUCUUCACAAUAGGGAUCAAGAGAAGAACCUUUUCUUCUCAAUUUUUUAUGUAUAAGAGAGAACCUU
rnacentral:lncRNA from 1 species